CCUCAGAGCUCAGGUGGCUGAGAAUGACAGUACACAUCAGGCGAUGGAGAUGUUUCUCUUUCUUCUGAUAAGCACUUAAAUGCUUACCAGGUUCCACUACCUGGGCAACAAAUGUCAUCCUUGCCUUUGGCUGUGGAUUGGUGCAUUUGAUCCUAUCAAUCCCUUGUUUUCAGCCUAAUCCAACUUCCCCAAAACAUGGGGAAAAGAAGAGGAGAAUAUCAGAAAGCUUUCAAAUUUGCAACUGCAAGACUGAUACACAUUUUGCAAGGAUCUGUCUGAUGUGUACAACAAACAUUGGAAUUAAGGCUUCUACAAUACUGGUAUGUGGUCAAGUCUAUGGCUGUGCAAUGCUGGACUUCCGCAAAGCAUCUCCAGCUUCCACUGUUACCCAACUUGUAAACCAGAAGAUGUGCUGAUGUAGGUGGAUAGCAGCUCCAAGAUAUUCUAAUUGACAGGCCCCUCCUUGAGCAAGACCCCCACCCAAUUGAGAGAGGAAAAAACCCCAACAGAUGCAUUGCCUGUAUGAACAGUGAUGACAGGACGCCAGCUACUACCUCUUUCAUUCACACUUGCAAGGAGACUGAUUCUCUGAAAAACCACAAGGCACCCGCUGUACCUUGCUGUACCUGCCAUCACCCUGCUACCCUCACCCCGUCCUAUUCACUAGCCUCAAGACUGUCACCCGAGACCCCCAAAUUUUUCACCCUCUGAGCUGACACCUCUUCCCCUACUUAAACUCCCUGAUAUAAACUGCACGUGUGCCCUCCUUCCUAUGUCAAUGACCUUUUUGCUCUUGGCCCAUCUGCAC